rnacentral:rRNA from 1 species
GAUUGAACGCUGGCGGUAUGCUUAACACAUGCAAGUCGAACGGAAACGAUACUAGCUUGCUAGUAGGCGUCGAGUGGCGGACGGGUGAGUAACGCGUAGGAAUCUGCCUGAUAGUGGGGGAUAGCCCGAAGAAAUUCGGAUUAAUACCGCAUAAUCUAUUCGUAGUAAAGUGGGGGACUUUCGAGCCUCACGCUAUCAGAUGAGCCUGCGUAAGAUUAGCUUGUUGGUAGGGUAAAAGCCUACCAAGGCGACGAUCUUUAGCUGGUCUGAGAGGAUGAUCAGCCACAUCGGGACUGAGACACGGCCCGAACUCCUACGGGAGGCAGCAGUGGGGAAUAUUGGACAAUGGGGGCAACCCUGAUCCAGCAAUACCGCGUGUGUGAAGAAGGCCUGAGGGUUGUAAAGCACUUUCAAUUGUGAAGAAAAGUUAGCGGUUAAUAACCGUUAGCCUUGACGUUAACUUUAGAAGAAGCACCGGCUAACUCCGUGCCAGCAGCCGCGGUAAUACGGAGGGUGCAAGCGUUAAUCGGAAUUACUGGGCGUAAAGCGUGCGUAGGCGGUUUAUUAAGUCAGAUGUGAAAGCCCCGGGCUUAACCUGGGAACUGCAUUUGAAACUGGUCAACUAGAGUAUGGUAGAGGAAAGUGGAAUUUCUGGUGUAGCGGUGAAAUGCGUAGAUAUCAGAAGGAACAUCAAUGGCGAAGGCAGCUUUCUGGACCAAUACUGACGCUGAGGUACGAAAGCGUGGGUAGCAAACAGGAUUAGAUACCCUGGUAGUCCACGCCGUAAACGAUGAUAACUAGCCGUUGGGGGGAUUUACCCCUUAGUGGCGAAGCUAACGCGUUAAGUUAUCCGCCUGGGGAGUACGGCCGCAAGGUUAAAACUCAAAGGAAUUGACGGGGACCCGCACAAGCGGUGGAGCAUGUGGUUUAAUUCGAUGCAACGCGAAGAACCUUACCUGGUCUUGACAUCCUGCGAACUUUCUAGAAAUAGAUUGGUGCCUUCGGGAACGCAGUGACAGGUGCUGCAUGGCUGUCGUCAGCUCGUGUCGUGAGAUGUUGGGUUAAGUCCCGUAACGAGCGCAACCCCUAUCCUUAUUUGCCAGCACAUCAUGGUGGGAACUAUAAGGAGACUGCCGGUGAUAAACCGGAGGAAGGCGGGGACGACGUCAAGUCAUCAUGGCCCUUACGACCAGGGCUACACACGUGCUACAAUGGGAAGGACAAAGAGCCGCGAAGCCGCGAGGUGUAGCUAAUCUCAUAAACCUUUUCGUAGUCCGGAUUGGAGUCUGCAACUCGACUCCAUGAAGUCGGAAUCGCUAGUAAUCGUAGAUCAGAAUGCUACGGUGAAUACGUUCCCGGGUCUUGUACUCACCGC